CCCUGGUGGCUGAGUGGUAAAGAAUCUGCCUGCCAAGCAGGAGACACGGGUUAGAUCCCUGGAUCAGGAA
rnacentral:tRNA from 1 species